ACGGGUGAGUAACACGUAGGAAUCUACCCAGAAGAGGGGGACAACCCGAGGAAACUCGGGCUAAUACCGCAUAAAUUCUGAGGAAAAAAGCUGGGGCAACCUGGCGCUUUUGGAGGAGCCUGCGUCCGAUUAGCUAGUUGGUAGGGUAAAAGCCUACCAAGGCGACGAUCGGUAGCUGGUCUGAGAGGAUGAUCAGCCACACUGGGACUGAGACACGGCCCAGACUCCUACGGGAGGCAGCAGUGGGGAAUAUUGGACAAUGGGGGCAACCCUGAUCCAGCAAUACCGCGUGUGUGAAGAAGGCCUUCGGGUCGUAAAGCACUUUAGGCGGGGAAGAAGGUUGGUAUUUUAAGAGAUAACUAACUUGACGGUACCCGCAGAAUAAGCACCGGCUAACUCUGUGCCAGCAGCCGCGGUAAUACAGAGGGUGCAAGCGUUAAUCGGAUUUACUGGGCGUAAAGGGCGCGUAGGUGGUUACGUAAGUGAGAUGUGAAAGCCCCGGGCUCGACCUGGGAACUGCAUCUUAUACUGCGUGGCUGGAGUGAAGUAGAGGGUAGUGGAAUUUCCGGUGUAGCGGUG
rnacentral:rRNA from 1 species